rnacentral:rRNA from 1 species
GAUCCGUGGCUACAGAACGAACGCUGGCGGCGCGCUUAACACAUGCAAGUCGAGCGGACCCGCAAGGGUUAGCGGCGGACGGGUGCGUAACGCGUGGGAAUCUGCCCUUGGGUUCGGAAUAACAGCGAGAAAUUGCUGCUAAUACCGGAUGAUGACGUAAGUCCAAAGAUUUAUCGCCCAAGGAUGAGCCCGCGUAGGAUUAGCUAGUUGGUGAGGUAAAGGCUCACCAAGGCGACGAUCCUUAGCUGGUCUGAGAGGAUGAUCAGCCACACUGGGACUGAGACACGGCCCAGACUCCUACGGGAGGCAGCAGUGGGGAAUUUUGGACAAUGGGGGCAACCCUGAUCCAGCAAUGCCGCGUGAGUGAAGAAGGCCUUCGGGUUGUAAAGCUCUUUUGUCAGGGAAGAAACGGUGAGUUCUAAUAAAGCUUGCUAAUGACGGUACCUGAAGAAUAAGCACCGGCUAACUACGUG